GGGGUCGACUGGUUUUGACAGCGAGAUUAAUUGAACGGUAAGCACGUCGUGUAAUGACAUUGAAACACGUUAAAGGCUAGAUCAAAUUUUAAACGGCGAGAAUAACUACGCUUUAGCUGCAUAAUCUGAAUUAUAGUAAGAUUAGCCUAGGUACACAAGGUGUACAAGCUUUAUGUCUCCGGAAAGCCUUGGUUAACGGCGUUCCAUUUUGAGGCAUCGUAAAUGUUAACAUAGAUUGAGUAGCGCUUUGAUGCUCUUUUGAAACUAAAGAAGAUAAGUUAUAAGUAGGUUUUCUUUAACCAGCUUAUAAUCGAAAACCCAAGAAAAGAAUAAACGUGUAGAAAGCCCUUUGGUUACUUGUUUGGACGAGGGUUCGACUCCCUCCGACUCCACAA
rfam:Algibacter sp. SK-16 scaffold9_cov54_read183, whole genome shotgun sequence.